GAUGAAGAACGUAGCAAAAUGCGAUAAGUAAUGUGAAUUGCAGAAUUCAGUGAAUCAUCGAAUCUUUGAACGCACAUUGCGCCCGCUGGUAUUCCGGCGGGCAUGCCUGUUCGAGCGUCAUUUCAACCAUCAAGCCCCAGGCUUGUGUUGGGGUCCUGCGGCUGCCGCAGGCCCUGAAAAACAGUGGCGGGCUCGCUGUCACACCGAGCGUAGUAAUACAUCUCGCUUUGGACGUGCGGCGGGUUCUUGCCGUUAAACACCCCCCUUCUCAAGGUUGACCUCGGAUCAGGUAGGAAUACCCGCUGAACUUAAGCAUAUCAAUAAGCGGAGGA
rnacentral:misc_RNA from 1 species